rnacentral:rRNA from 1 species
CGUUCCGGUUGCAUCUGCCGGCGGCCACUGCUAUCAAGUUCCGACUAAGCCAUGCGAGUCAAGGUAUCGUAAGAUGCCGGCAAACUGCUCAGUAACACGUGGAUAAUCUAACCUUGAGUAAGGGAUAACUUCGGGAAACUGAAGGUAAUACCUUAUAAUUGCUUAAAACUGGAAUGUUUUUGCAAUAAAAGUUACGACGCUCAAGGAUGAGUCUGCGACCUAUCAGGUAGUAGGUGGUGUAAUGGACCACCUAGCCUCAGACGGGUACGGGCCCUGGGAGGGGUAGCCCGGAGAUGGACUCUGAGACAUAAGUCCAGGCCCUACGGGGCGCAGCAGGCGCGAACACUGUGCAAUGCGCGAAAGCGCGACACGGGGAGCUUGAGUGUCUUGGCAUAGCCAAGACUUUUCUCAUUCCUAAAAAGCAUGAGGAAUAAGUGCUGGGUAAGACGGGUGCCAGCCGCCGCGGUAACACCCGCAGCACGAGUAGUGGUCACUUUUAUUGAGCCUAAAGCGUUCGUAGCCGGUUUUGUAAAUCUUCAGAUAAAGCCUGAAGCUUAACUCCAGAAAGUCUGAAGAGACUGCAAGACUUGAGAUCGGGUGAGGUUAAACGUACUUUCAGGGUAGGGGUAAAAUCCUGUAAUCCCGGAAGGACGACCAGUGGCGAAAGCGUUUAACUAGAACGAAUCUGACGGUAAGGAACGAAGGCUAGGGUAGCAAACCGGAUUAGAUACCCGGGUAGUCCUAGCUGUAAACAUUGCCCAUUUGAUGUUGCUUUUCCGUUGAGGGAAGGCAGUGUCGGAGCGAAGGUGUUAAAUGGGCCGCUUGGGAAGUAUGGUCGCAAGACUGAAACUUAAAGGAAUUGGCGGGGGAGCACCGCAACGGGAGGAAUGUGCGGUUUAAUUGGAUUCAACGCCGGAAAACUCACCGGGAACGACCUGUGCAUGAGAGUCAACCUGACGAGCUUACUCGAUAGCAGGAGAGGUGGUGCAUGGCCGUCGUCAGCUCGUACCGUAGGGCGUUCACUUAAGUGUGAUAACGAGCGAGACCCACAUCUUUAAUUGCAAAUGUAUAUGAGAAUAUGCAUGCACUUUAGAGAAACCGCCAGCGCUAAGCUGGAGGAAGGAGUGGUCGACGGCAGGUCAGUACGCCCCGAAUUUCCCGGGCUACACGCGCAUUACAAAGAACGGGACAAUACGUUGCAACCUCGAAAGAGGAAGCUAAUCGCGAAACCCGUCCAUAGUUAGGAUUGAGGGCUGUAACUCGCCCUCAUGAAUCUGGAUUCCGUAGUAAUCGCGGGUCAACAACCCGCGGUGAACAUGCCCCUGCUCCUUGCACACACCGCCCGUCAAACCAUCCGAGUUGGUGUUGGAUGAGGUUUAAUUCGAGAGGGUUAAAUCAAAUCUGAUGUCGGUGAGGAGGGUUAAGUCGUAACAAGGUAACCGUAG